AGGGUCACUGGCUCCGGGAGCUCCAGGUGACUUCUACAGAAAGAAGGGAGCCUUAGAAAGGCUGAAGCACACCAGCAGGCACACAGUGAGACUGCUGGGGGGAAUGGCACUGCAGAAACAGCUGGAACGCAUGGAAAAGCUAUGAAGUUCGAAGAUGUCGUGUAACUCUGGAACUCCACAUGAGGGGAAACAGACUAGAUGCAGCCCUGUGUGUGGGGACGUGGGCUGGAGCCAGGUGUCCAGAGCUUUUCCUGAACCUGCUCCAGCGUGCUGCAGCCUGUGGGGCUGCUGAGAAGGGCUGGAUGGCUUGCCGAGAGCCCUGAAAGACCAUCUGGCCCCACUGAGGAAGCGUGUCACCGUGUUCUGCACCUUUAAGAUCUGUGAGCUCUUCCUGGGCAUGAGGUUGGACCAAGCACGUGAGAGACUGCCUGGAGCCAUUUGUGCCGCAGCCCAGGAGUUCUGCAUGGAAACAGUCUUCAAAGUCUCCAUCAGGUCUGAGGCUUCACCACCUGGGUAGCCUUAAAGAACUAUUUCUCUCUCCUUAAGUAUCUCUUCCUCCUAUUCUGCUGUAAUCCCCUCAGUGAGUCUGUGUUCCAGAUGACCUCCUUGCCAUCUAGAAUCUUCUCUACCCUCAUUCCAUAGCAAUGUUUUUGGCACAUGGCUAGAUACCAGGAAGACUGUAUUUCUUAGCUUACCUCUGGCUAAGGGCUGAGCUGAAGUAACAUUUCACCAAUGGAUUGUGGGAGGAAGAGCUGUGUAAAGGAUGCGCUGGUAAUUGCUUAAUAACAGGAUGUUGUUUCUGCCCAUUUCCAUGGUACAAAGAUCCUGACCAUGGCGGUUUGUAGUUUGUUUCAUAUAUGGCAGCAAACACCUCUGCUGUGGUCAGAAGGGGACAGCAGGUUAAUGCCAUAGAGGAAGAAAGAAAAUGUGGGCUGUCUGGCUCACUUGCUCAUGUAGCCAGUGUUGCUUGUGGUCCUGUUCUGAGUUUGUACAGAGAUUCCGAUGACCAGAAGAUGUAUCUAGUCAUGACCAGAAAUCAGCAGUGGGUCAUGGUUCGGUAUGAAUUUGAUUUAUGGAUAGAAAGGACUCUACAUUUUGUUGGUGCUAACCGAGUUCAGCUGGUCUUUCUAUUUUCUGCCUUGUCUCUGUCUCGGUGACUUCCCUCCAGGGUAUGCUGUCCACACAUGUUAUUCAUGAUCCCUCUGCAAACCUGGAAGUUCGGUGACUAAGGACUUCUUGUCAUGUUGUUGCGCGCACUCAACAGGCCAGGAAGAACGACGCUGCUACAGGAUCCUUCUGUACACAUUUAUUCAGUCCUGUCUCUUCUUUCUCCAUAUAUCUCCCUUGUUUAUAUCUCCCUUGUUUAUAUCUCCCCUGUUUAUAUCUCCCCUGUUUAUAUCUCCCCUGUUUUUAUAUCUCCUGUUUAUAUCUCCCUUGUUUAUAUCUCCCUUGUUUUUAUAUCUCUCUUGUUUAUAUCUCCCCC
rnacentral:lncRNA from 1 species